rnacentral:rRNA from 1 species
GAUGAACGCUGGCGGCGUGCCUAAUACAUGCAAGUCGAGCGAACAGACGAGGAGCUUGCUCCUCUGAUGUUAGCGGCGGACGGGUGAGUAACACGUGGAUAACCUACCUAUAAGACUGGGAUAACUUCGGGAAACCGGAGCUAAUACCGGAUAACAUGUUGAACCGCAUGGUUCAACAGUGAAAGACGGUCUUGCCGUCACUUAUAGAUGGAUCCGCGCCGCAUUAGCUAGUUGGUAAGGUAACGGCUUACCAAGGCAACGAUGCGUAGCCGACCUGAGAGGGUGAUCGGCCACACUGGAACUGAGCCACGGUCCAGACUCCUACGGGAGGCAGCGGUAGGGAAUCUUCCGCAAUGGGCGAAAGCCUGACGGAGCAACGCCGCGUGAGUGAAGAAGGUCUUCGGAUCGUAAAACUCUGUUAUUAGGGAAGAACAAAUGUGUAAGUAACUAUGCACGUCUUGACGGUACCUAAUCAGAAAGCCACGGCUAACUACGUG